CCUCCCCCAAAAAAUAGUCUGCCCCCCCACAAGAUCUGAUGGACAGUGGACCAGGCCCCCUGCUGAAAAAGUUUGCUGACCCCUGGUCUUGCCAAUACCGGCUGCCUCCUAUACCCGAGAGAAAAGGACAACCAAAUUGAUCAAGAGGAUGGAGAGACUGUCCUAUGAGUAAAGGUUGCAGCAUUUGGGACUUUUUUACUUUAGAGAAAAAGUGGUCCACAAACAGGAAACACCAGUGGAGAAGAACAAGAAGGGAAGAAACGGAGACAUCAAAGUCUGGAGAGAAGCAUAAGGUAUUCUUCCGCCAUCUCUGACUCUCCAACCGGGGCCCCCCCUCCCCCCUCCUGAGACCCGAGCUUUCUCCAAAAAAGCAAAUUGCUGAGUUUGGAUUUGGCACCUCCAGGAAGAGGAGGCACCUUUGAUGAAUACCAAGCGGGCAGACUUCAAUCGCUUCAAUGAGAGCCGUUUCCAGAAGAACUCAAGAGUUUCUCCUGUAUUACUGACCUGGUUCUUAAGCACGAUAAAAGAAAACAAACUUUGACCAGCAAACGCGUAUAUACCCCUAGGGACAAG